CAAGCGCUCGCAAACGCACACAUAUACUUUUGCCGAUACAACUUAAACACAACACAAGCAUGAGCCACGCACACUCAUGAUAUUAAAUAAGUAAGAA